rnacentral:rRNA from 1 species
UGGGGAAUUUUGGACAGUGGGCGAAAGCCUGAUCCAGCAAUGCCGCGUGUGUGAAGAAGGCCUUCGGGUUGUAAAGCACUUUUGUCCGGAAAGAAAUCCUUGGCUCUAAUACAGUCGGGGGAUGACGGUACCGGAAGAAUAAGCACCGGCUAACUACGUGCCAGCAGCCGCGGUAAUACGUAGGGUGCAAGCGUUAAUCGGAAUUACUGGGCGUAAAGCGUGCGCAGGCGGUUUGCUAAGACCGAUGUGAAAUCCCCGGGCUCAACCUGGGAACUGCAUUGGUGACUGGCAGGCUAGAGUAUGGCAGAGGGGGGUAGAAUUCCACGUGUAGCAGUGAAAUGCGUAGAGAUGUGGAGGAAUACCGAUGGCGAAGGCAGCCCCCUGGGCCAAUACUGACGCUCAUGCACGAAAAGCGUGGGGAGCAAAACAGGAUUAGAUACCCUGGUAGUCCACGCCCUAAAACGAUGUCAACUAGUUGUUGGGGAUUCAUUUCCUUAGUAACGUAGCUAACGCGUGAAGUUGACCGCCUGGGGAGUACGGUCGCAAGAUU